GCCUGAUUAGCUCAGUCGGUAGAGCACUCGGCUGUUAACCGAUAGGUCGUAGGUUCGAGUCCUACAUCAGGCGCCA
rnacentral:tRNA from 1 species